UGAUAGUUCUCGAACCAGUUUGAGUUACGUACAUUGCCAGCCUACAGUGACACUGCAUGAUCUAGGCCCCUACUUCGGAUCAACUCAUUAUCCCGAAUAAACGAUGUGUCAUUCCCAUUAUUUAUGUUUCACUGCAGCCAAAGUAUCUGGACCUCGUUUUGGCUCCUAAUCACCAUGAGGAACCAACCUCCUUCAUGCAGUCAAGGCUGUUAUCACUCCCACCAUGGCUCCAGCCUUUCCUCCUUGCUCCUUGGGGCUCUAGGUGUCCCUUGUCCUG
ensembl:lncRNA